AUUGAACGCUGGCGGCAGGCUUAACACAUGCAAGUCGAGCGGGGUGAUGGUGCUUGCACUAUCACUUAGCGGCGGACGGGUGAGUAAUGCUUAGGAAUCUGCCUAUUAGUGGGGGACAACAUCUCGAAAGGGAUGCUAAUACCGCAUACGUCCUACGGGAGAAAGCAGGGGAUCACUUGUGACCUUGCGCUAAUAGAUGAGCCUAAGUCGGAUUAGCUAGUUGGUGGGGUAAAGGCCUACCAAGGCGACGAUCUGUAGCGGGUCUGAGAGGAUGAUCGGCCACGCUGGGACUGAGACACGGCCCAGACUACUACGGGAGGCAGCAGUGGGGAAUAUUGGACAAUGGGGGGAACCCUGAUCUAGCCAUGCCGCGUGUGUGAAGAAGGCCUUAUGGUUGUAAAGCACUUUAAGCGAGGAGGAGGCUCUUUUGGUUAAUACCCAAGAUGAGUGGACGUUACUCGCAGAGUAAGCACCGGCUAACUCUGUGCCAGCCGCCGCCGUAA
rnacentral:rRNA from 1 species